UACGUAGGGUGCAAGCGUUAAUCGGAAUUACUGGGCGUAAAGCGUGCGCAGGCGGUUUUGUAAGUCUGUCGUGAAAUCCCCGGGCUCAACCUGGGAAUUGCGAUGGAGACUGCAAGGCUAGAAUCUGGCAGAGGGGGGGUAGAAUUCCACGUGUAGCAGUGAAAUGCGUAGAGAUGUGGAGGAAUACCGAUGGCGAAGGCAGCCCCCUGGGUCAAUACUGACGCUCAUGCACGAAAGCGUGGGAGCA
rnacentral:rRNA from 1 species